GGGAAUGUGGCUUAGUGGUAGAGUGCUUGCCUAGCAUGCAUAAAGCCCUGGGUUCAAUUCCUCAGUACCA
rfam:Dipodomys ordii contig_64690, whole genome shotgun sequence.